GGAAGACAGAAUUUGAAAGAGUGGUUGAUGGCUUGUUCAUAAAAUCUGCUAAGAGGACUGUGUGGGUUAUGGUGCAUUGGUCAGCUAUUGUCUCCAACACUUGCAGCGCCUGGGAAUGGCCUUUAGAAGAGUGGCUUUCGCUUGCAACAACUCAGAGAAAUCAACUUCAAAAACGUCACUUUCCUUCAAGCAACUUAAUCUGUUGCCGUGGUUAUCUAUCAUUAACUAGCGUUUUAGCCUGCCCUCUCCCCCACUGCAACCCCACCAAAGACGAAAGAGGAAAAAAGAGAUAGAGAACGACAAGAAAAAUAAAAAGGACUACGCACUUUUCUUAGAUAUCAUUGUAAAAACAGGGUCGUUAUUUGUGCUGUUGGCUAUGGCUAUCUUCUACUGCUAUGGUUGGGACCCUCUUAAUGCAGUAUGAAGUUUAACUAAUUGCAGCUUCUGGGAGUUGAACCAACCUGCAC